GCCUGGAUAGCUCAAUUGGUUAGAGCAUGGUGCUGAUAGCACCAAGGUUUCAGGUUCAAUCCCUGUAUGGGAUGGCU
rnacentral:tRNA from 1 species